UACGUAGGGUGCAAGCGUUAUCCGGAAUGAUUGGGCGUAAAGCGUCUGCAGGUGGCAGUUCAAGUCUGCUGUCAAAGACCGGGGCUUAACUUCGGAAAAGGCAGUGGAAACUGAACAGCUAGAGUAUGGUAGGGGCAGAGGGAAUUCCUGGUGUAGCGGUGAAAUGCGUAGAGAAUCAGGAAGAACAUCGGUGGCGAAGGCGCUCUGCUGGACCAUAACUGACACUCAGGGACGAAAGCUAGGGGAGCGAAAUGGG
rnacentral:rRNA from 1 species